CACGCCCCGUCCCUCCCGCCUGGGAGGCGACAGUGCCGAGAUGCGUCAGAGAAGCAGCGGCUCAGGGCAACGCCCCUAUCGCGGGGUAUCCUGGAAAGCUGUGUGAAAUCUUCCAAAGAAGAAAGCAAUUUCUACCCAAUUAGGAAUAUCCAACUUCAAAAUAAUCACUAAGUGUAGGAACCUCAGCACCCUUUCCUGUAUCCUGAGGUUUUCAACUGAGGAUCCUGCAUUGAGACCCCACACAAGCCUUUGAGCAAGGACUCCUAGAAGUGAGCAACAUGUUGAAUGGAGGUAAAUACUGCAAUGGAUUUGGUUCCACAGAGAAUGCUGGAAGGAGAAAGAAGUGAAGAAAUAAUCUUCACAAUAAUUUCCUAAGAUUUUUUUUCUGAAAUUAUACUGUUGCAUUGUCAUCUAUGUAUGGAAGGUACAAUAACUUUCUUUUUUUAAAAACACUGUAGAAACAUCUAGAAGCAAUAUCCUAUCAUGUCCUGCAGUUUUGAGAAUUACUCUGUCCCAUGUAGCAUGUUGCAUUUGCUUUUAAAUAACAAAUGCUCCCAGGUACAACUAAUCUCAGGUGAUGGGUAGGAGUUGGAGCCUCAUGCAUAUCUCUGUUGGAUCAACUUGGAUCAGUUCCCAUCUGUGACCUUGGACAAGGAAUUUCUGCCUUCAGGGUUUUGCAGAUUGGUUGUUUUACUGACAAAUUGCAUGCUAUGGGGAAGCAUGAUGACACCUUCACUAGAGUGAAGAGGGAUAUUGGAACACACCCAGCAUUUUGAAAUAUUUAAGUCUUUAGUGUAAUGGUAGGCCAACUGAAGAAAGGUAUUUUAAUCUUAUGCAAAGAUGAAAAAAUUUUCAACUGUUUGAGGGCAGAGCCUGUUUAUGGAUCUGAUGCUGUUGAUAUUGAGUCCUGUGUGUGUCACUUUGGUGUGGACUCAGGUCUGUGGUCCACAAUAGU